rnacentral:rRNA from 1 species
UGCAGUCGAACGAUGAUCCAGCUUGCUGGGGGAUUAGUGGCGAACGGGUGAGUAACACGUGAGUAACCUGCCCUUAACUCUGGGAUAAGCCUGGGAAACUGGGUCUAAUACCGGAUAUGACUCCUCAUCGCAUGGUGGGGGGUGGAAAGCUUUAUUGUGGUUUUGGAUGGACUCGCGGCCUAUCAGCUUGUUGGUGAGGUAAUGGCUCACCAAGGCGACGACGGGUAGCCGGCCUGAGAGGGUGACCGGCCACACUGGGACUGAGACACGGCCCAGACUCCUACGGGAGGCAGCAGUGGGGAAUAUUGCACAAUGGGCGAAAGCCUGAUGCAGCGACGCCGCGUGAGGGAUGACGGCCUUCGGGUUGUAAACCUCUUUCAGUAGGGAAGAAGCGAAAGUGACGGUACCUGCAGAAGAAGCGCCGGCUAACUACGUGCCAGCAGCCGCGGUAAUACGUAGGGCGCAAGCGUUAUCCGGAAUUAUUGGGCGUAAAGAGCUCGUAGGCGGUUUGUCGCGUCUGCCGUGAAAGUCCGGGGCUCAACUCCGGAUCUGCGGUGGGUACGGGCAGACUAGAGUGAUGUAGGGGAGACUGGAAUUCCUGGUGUAGCGGUGAAAUGCGCAGAUAUCAGGAGGAACACCGAUGGCGAAGGCAGGUCUCUGGGCAUUAACUGACGCUGAGGAGCGAAAGCAUGGGGAGCGAACAGGAUUAGAUACCCUGGUAGUCCAUGCCGUAAACGUUGGGCACUAGGUGUGGGGGACAUUCCACGUUUUCCGCGCCGUAGCUAACGCAUUAAGUGCCCCGCCUGG